rnacentral:rRNA from 1 species
UACGUAGGGUGCAAGCGUUGUCCGGAAUUAUUGGGCGUAAAGAGCUCGUAGGCGGUUCGUCGCGUCGGCUGUGAAAUCCCGAGGCUCAACCUCGGGUCUGCAGUCGAUACGGGCGGACUGGAGUUCGGCAGGGGAGACUGGAAUUCCUGGUGUAGCGGUGAAAUGCGUAGAGAUCCGGAGGAACACCGGUGGCGAAGGCGGGUCUCUGGGCAGUAACUGACGCUGAGGAGCGAAAGCGUGGGGAGCGAACAGGAUUAGAACCCGUGUAGUCCAGACCGAAGAUACGUCUGGUUCACCUAUA